CGGACGGGUGAGUAACGCGUAAAGAACUUGCCCUUUAGACUGGGAUAACAGAGGGAAACUUCUGAUAAUACUGGAUAAGUUAGUAUAUCGCAUGAUAUGCAAAUGAAAGCUACGGCACUAAAGGAGAGCUUUGCGUCCUAUUAGCUAGUUGGUAAGGUAUGAGCUUACCAAGGCGAUGAUAGGUAGCCGGCCUGAGAGGGUGGACGGCCACAAGGGGACUGAGAUACGGCCCUUACUCCUACGGGAGGCAGCAGCG
rnacentral:rRNA from 1 species